UGCACACUGCCUGGCCGAUAACCAACCAACCGCUCAGUUUAUCUCAAUUCUUAAGCACUACGUUCGCUGCGCACUGUUCACGAUACUCGAAAUAAUUAUUUGUUGUAACUUAAAUAACUUAAAUAACGCGAACUCAUAAUCUGAAUAAUUUCUGACAGAUUUUGAUCAUGAUUCUGGACCCGUUACCGAAUACCAACUCGCACUGCUUGUUCACGGAAUAAUCUUCCCCGGGUAGCCUUCUCGGGUCCGUUCGUUCCAUUAUCUUAUCCGGCGUGUCCAGCAAACAGUCCCCCUUUCCGGCCCUGAAACGAAUUUCACGAGACUUGAACGGGUCGUCUGGAGGGGGGCUCGUGCAUCAUUCGAGGACCGAAUUUUUGUCGGAAACGGAUGGGAUCCGCGGCGGUCAUUCAGAAAUGCAGCGGAACCGGAUUCCUAAGCGAGGAGUCGCCUUCUUCGCAGAAAAAUUCACGGCAGAAUCGAGAGUUGUCCGAUCGAAUCCAAUUUGGAUUUCUUCCCAACGGGUGCAGUGAGUCAUGAUUUCUCCUAGUUUUCCCAUUUUCUCAGUCUCUCUAAUAUAAUAUAAAAUGUAAUAUAAUAUUCGAGUAACUUGGAGGAAAAAUGACACGAUGAUAUUUUCAAUUUGAGAAGAGUCUGGAUAAAUUUUAGUCUAUUAGUUGUUGAUUUUAAACUUGUUAUAGUAUAAAUAAUUUAUGCUUUCUUUA